CACACACACACACACACACACACACACACACACACACACACACAGCAAAGGCAGGGGCCAGGGAAAACAGGAGAGCGCUGUCUGAAAUUCACACCCACGAUGAACAGGAAGGUAAAAGAUGGCUGGCACAGUAACGGUCAACCACCAUGAUAUGUGUAACGGGUAUUAAAGAAUCAUUGCCACAGAGUCUGUUUUUAUGCCUACAAGACGUUCCUUUAUGCCGAAGAUUGCACAUGGAGCCCCUAAGCCCCCACAGCACAUGAAGUCGAGUAAAUGAGGAAGAAAGCAAAGCGCAAGGAGUCAUUUUCCAUCCUUGCAGCUAAAUGCUCUGAAAGUCUUUCAGUAAAAACAGUUACGGAGAACUUGUAGAAAUAUUUUAUCUAAAGGGAGUGAAUUAAACUUUGAAAUCGUUUGCAACAAUAAUGAACUUUGACCAUUCACCAUCUCUACAUUUUUGUACUUUCACCUUUGGAAUUAGAAUUGUAGGUAUUUGUUGGCAGAAUAGAAUAUUACAAAAAAAGAGGAAUUUAAAUGCAGCCAAAAUAGUAUGGUUGAUGAAGUAGAUUCUUAAUAACGCACAUAAAAUAUUCAGUUCCCAAUUUUAAUAAUUGAUGUUGAAGAUUUCAACCCAAAAAUGUGGAAAAUUGUUCCACCAUAUAUUUUACCAUGGGUUGAAACGCAUCAUUUUUCAUUGUUGUGUGAGUAUAUCUAUUUGAAGUUAUUGUAUCUCACCUUUGAUAGGUUGUUCGGUAGUAUUAUAAAUUGUCUUACUUAAAGCAUAAUUCAACAAUACGCACAAAAAUAAUUCAAUUCCAACAAGAGCAAAAUUCCAUCAAACUACAUAAAUCUGUCUUGAUAGUAUAAUAAUAUUUGACAAACUUUUUAACAUUUGAAAUCCUUGUAUUUGUGGGAGAAAUAUGACUGAAAUGAUUCUAAGAUCAACAAGUGCUGUGUCAUUAACCAUAACAAAUCAAUAACAUACUCUUCAAAUCAAUGUUAACAAUGAAUAUAUGUCCCUGUCUGCAGUUAAUGUACAAUAGACUUGCUGGGUGUGUCCAAUCCAUUUGCAGUAUUCGUGCAAAAAAACCUUUAAAAGUUUCCUCUGAGAAACAGGAAUCCUAAUUACCAAUGAUGAUUAUAUUUAAUUAGGAAACUUUACAGUAAUUGGCUCACAAUUACAUAUUAUACAUAGUUUGUAAAAUGUAAAAAUGUAUUUUCAAAUAUCUUUCCUGACUAACUGAGACAGGCAUAAACAUCACAUCAUCUGAAAAA